GGGCCCACCUUCUUCCGCCAGCAGGAUGGCCUGCUGCGGGGUGGCUAUGAGGCACAGGAGCCGCUGUGCCCAGCUGUGCCUCCUAGGAAGGCUGUCCCUGUCACCAGCUUCACCUACAUCAAUGAGGACUUCCGGACAGAGUCACCCCCUAGCCCAAGCAGUGAUGUUGAGGAUGCCCGAGAGCAGCGGGCACACAAUGCCCACCUCCGCGGCCCACCACCGAAGCUCAUCCCUGUCUCUGGAAAGCUGGAGAAGAACAUGGAGAAGAUCCUGAUCCGCCCAACAGCCUUCAAGCCAGUGCUGCCCAAACCUCGAGGGGCUCCGUCCCUGCCUAGCUUCAUGGGUCCUCGGGCCACCGGGCUGUCUGGGAGCCAGGGCAGCCUGACACAGCUGUUUGGGGGCCCUGCCUCCUCCUCCUCUUCUUCCUCCUCCUCUUCAGCUGCUGACAAACCCCUGGCAUUUAGUGGCUGGGCCAGUGGCUGCCCAUCAGGGACGCUAUCCGACUCUGGCCGAAACUCACUGUCCAGCCUGCCCACCUACAGCACCGGAGGUGCCGAGCCAACCACCAGCUCCCCAGGCGGGCACCUGCCUUCCCAUGGCUCUGGGCGAGGGGCACUGCCUGGGCCAGCCCGAGGGGUCCUACUGGGCCCUCCCACUCAGACAGUGGCCGGUCCCCUCCAGCAAGAGCACAGGCUCCCUGGGGGGCCGUGUGGCUGCCGGGCUUUUGGGCAGUGGUACCCGGGCCUCCCCUGACAGCAGCUCCUGUGGGGAGCGCUCACCACCACCCCCGCCUCCACCUCCUUCCGACGAGGCCCUGCUGCACUGUGUCCUGGAAGGAAAGCUCCAGAGCGGGAGGCAGAGCUUCAGCAGCUGCGGGCAGUCUGGACGAGAAUGAGGCUACCAUGUGCCAGGCAUACGAGGAGCGGCAGCGGCACUGGCAGCGAGAGCGCGAGGCCCUGCGAGAGGACUGUGCAGCCCAGGCACAGCGGGCACAGCGGGCCAACAGCUGCUGCAGCUGCAGGUGUUCCAGCUGCAGCAGGAGAAGCGGCAAUUGCAGGAUGACUUUGCACAGCUGCUGCAGGAGCGUGAACAGCUGGAGCGCGCUGCGCCACCUUGGAGCGGGAGCAGCGGGAGCUCGGGCCAAGGCUUGAGGAGACCAAGUGGGAGGUGUGCCAGAAAUCAGGCGAGAUCUCCCUGCUGAAGCAGCAGCUGAAGGAGUCUCAGGCAGAGCUGGUGCAGAAGGGCAGCGAGCUGGUGGCCCUGCGGGUGGCACUGCGGGAGGCCCGUGCUACCCUGCGGGUCAGUGAGGGCCGUGCGCGGGGUCUACAGGAGGCCGCCCGAGCUCGGGAGCUGGAGCUGGAAGCCUGUUCCCAGGAGCUGCAGCGACACCGCCAGGAAGCCGAGCGGCUGCGGGAGAAAGCUGGGCAGUUGGAUUGCUGAGGCGGCUGGACUCCGGGAGCCCGCUGUGCCACCUGCCACCGCUGACCCAUUCCUCCUGGCAGAGAGUGAUGAGGCCAAAGUGCAGCGGGCAGCAGCCGGGGUUGGGGGCAGCUUGCGGGCCCAGGUGGAGCGAUUGCGGGUGGAGCUGCAGCGGGAGCGGCGGCGGGGUGAGGAGCAGCGGGACAGCUUUGAAGGGGAGCGGCUGGCCUGGCAGGCAGAGAAGGAGCAGGUGAUCCGCUACCAGAAGCAGCUGCAGCACAACUACAUCCAGAUGUACCGGCGCAACCGGCAGCUAGAGCAGGAGCUGCAGCAGCUCAGCCUGGAGCUGGAGGCCCGGGAGCUUGCGGAGCUGGGCCUGGCUGAGCAGGCCCCCUGCAUCUGCCUGGAGGAGAUCACUGCUACUGAGAUCUAGGGCCCUCGGCACCCAGCUCUGCAGGGAGCUCUCCCAGAGGGGCAGCAGCUGCAGAUCCACUUAGGCCCCAGGGCCCACGGAUGACCCCAAAAGCUGAGGGCCCCAAAGCCACUUGUCUCCUAGGAUCCAGGCCUCUGGGAUUCUGCCCAGGAACUUGGGAUGGUCCUUUGACUUGGAGGAGCAAGAUCAGACCGCUCGAAGGUCCCCGUGUUCACUGUCACCCAGAGGCUCCUGUCACUACCCACUUCAUUCCCCAUCGCUGCCAGUGCCACUGCCAACCCUGUUCACAGGCGCUUCCAGCCCACUCCAGCCAGGGGAGCUGGGAGGAAGAAGGGGCUCCCUCCUCUCCACAUUCCCCCUGACCCCAAAGCCAGAGAAAGCCAGAUGGCACCAGCUGCUCCAGAUGUGCCUGCCCACAUUGGGGGACAGGGCCGGGCCUGGGCUCGGUUCCCAGGUUCGAGCUCUGCAGCCUCUCUCCUGGAGGGAGGGGGCUGAAGUCAGACCAAAGGAAGAACUCAGAAAUGUCUUGUUUAUUUGUGUUUGUGACCAAGCAGCCUCUCCCUUCACCCAGGUUUAUGGCCUCGUUUUCACUUGUAUAUUUUUCACACUGUAAAUUUCUUGUACAAACCCAAAGAAAAAAUUAAAAAAAAUUUUUUUUGUUUAAAA